rnacentral:miRNA from 1 species
UCUAGAGGAGAUCGUGGGGGA